UUUAUUGAACAAAAUUCUGGCUCUAAGAAGCGACGGCGUAUUUGCUCUAUCUGGUCCCAUUUUUCCUCGUUACGAAUCAACGAGGAGAGAGCUAAGAACCGUGCUGUCGUUUAAAUCCUUCACGAUCACGACGUCGUUUCUGCUUCAAUGGAAGCCUCAGAAACUAACACCGCCACCACAUCGACCGCUAAUCCAAACCCUAACAACACUAACUGAAUACUAUCGUCAACACCAGUGUGGUCAACAAUCGAUGGACCACUAGGUCUAAUAGAAGACGAAUCGUUAACCUACGCACGUAGAUUUUACAAAUUCGGAUUCGCAUUCUUGCCUGGGCUUUGGGCCGUCAGUUGCUUCUACUUCUGGCCUGUUCUCUUCGAUUCUCGCACUUUCCCUCGCAUUCGUCCUUGUAGAUCAGCUAGCAGUUGGGUUCACAGUAUUUACAACUCUUCUUCUUUCGUGGGCCUAACAUUUUCCAUUGGAGGGGAGCAACUCUUUGGCCUUGGCUAGGAUAAACUACGAAUGUACAAUGCUGCUGAUAGAUUAGGCUUGACAGGUUGGAUUUAGUCAUAUGCUCCUGCAUGACAGUCUCAAUGUUCUUCCUUACCCUUUCGACUGCGGGGCGUGUAGAAAAACAAGUCAAUGAGACCUUUUCAAAUCCAGCAGCAGACUCCUGAAACAAAGGAGAUAAAGAUAACAAGUUUUCAAUUUCGAAUGUAUAUCAUGUACAGGCUAACUACUAGGAUGUUUGUUGCAUUUCUGCUCUACCUCUGUCAAACUGAAAGUCUUUUUAAAGACAUCUUGAAUGCAUACAAAAUAGUUGCAGAAGAACAAACAAAAGACUCUUUAAACUUUCUCUCCAGUCUCUUUGAGUUUCUAUAUGACACUAUUCAGCUAUCAUUUAGUUCCUUUU